rnacentral:rRNA from 1 species
GACGUAGGGCGCGAGCGUUGUCCGGAGUUAUUGGGCGUAAAGAGCUCGUAGGCGGCUUGUCGCGUCGGCUGUGAAAACCCGUGGCUCAACUGUGGGCGGGCAGCUGAUACGGGCAGGCUGGAGUUCGGUAGGGGAGACUGGAAUUCCUGGUGUAGCGGUGAAAUGCGCAGAUAUCAGGAAGAACACCCGUGGCUAAGGCGGCUCUCUAGUACGGUACUGACGCUGAGACGCGAAAGCGUGGGGAGCGAACAGG